rnacentral:rRNA from 1 species
GUAGGUGGCAAGCGUUGUCCGGAAUUAUUGGGCGUAAAGCGCGCGCAGGCGGUCCUUUAAGUCUGAUGUGAAAGCCCACGGCUCAACCGUGGAGGGUCAUUGGAAACUGGGGGACUUGAGUGCAGAAGAGAAGAGUGGAAUUCCACGUGUAGCGGUGAAAUGCGUAGAGAUGUGGAGGAACACCAGUGGCGAAGGCGACUCUUUGGUCUGUAACUGACGCUGAGGCGCGAAAGCGUGGGGGAGCAAACAGGAUUAGAUACCCUGGUAGUCCACGCCGUAAACGAUGAGUGCUAAGUGUUAGAGGGUUUCCGCCCCCUUUAGUGCUGCAGCAAACGCAUUAAGCACUCCGCCUGGGGAUACGGCCGCAAGGCUG